UGUACUGCGCAUGCCAUAAGUGUAUAAUCUAUGGCGCAUGCGUCAACUAUAAUGCCUAAACUUUCUACGCGGUUUUAAUCGUGAAAAAAAAACAAUUAUAAAUCCUGAAGGAUCAAUUAAUUGGUAUACAGUUUAAUUAAAAAAAUUAAAAACAAAAUAAAUAAAAUAAUGUGCAUUCGCGUAAAGUUAGACCAAAUACAUUUUUUCCAUCCUCCUAUAUACCUAUCGCUAUGAAGGUAUAAAAAAGAUAGGUUAAGACUUCGUUCACAUAGCUGGAAAACUACAUGGCGAAUUAUAUGCAAUACAAGAUAAUGAGCUCCAUUAAAUGAAUUCGAAUGAAACCAAACUGUUUACCAUCCAAAUUCGAUUGUCGGGCAGAUAGAAAACGAAAAUUCACUCAUAGUGAACCUCGGCCUGCAUUUGUGAAACGGCAAAGACUCACUAUUAUCAAGGAAAUUGAAGAGACAACUAAAAAUGAGAUGUGUCGUAUUAUUAUACCUUUGCCAUCUUGUAGUCAAGAUGUCCAGCCACUUGAAAAUAGGUGUAGUAAUGACAAAGCUAUCCAAGUAGCUCCAGCACAGGAACACAAAGGCAAGGCAAGUGUGUAUUGCCACAUCACCCCUUAAUAUAUCUGAAGCAAGUAUAAGUAAACAAUCAGAACCAGCAAAAAAAAAACUGUUGUUCCUGAGGACAAAUUUGACAGUGAUGAGUCAAAUGCACCAGCAACAGAAGGAUCAACUGUUGACUAUGGGUUAUAGAAGAAGAAGAUUAAUUCAUAUUUAUUUAAAUUAAUAUUAAUGAAUAUUAAUUUAAAUUAUCGUGCAAAAUUCGUGGUGAAAACAUGUGUAUUUUAUAAAUAAAUAUUCAUUCUCAGUA